AUGGACUCUAAUGCUGGAUCAUUUGAUUCGUCAAGUGAAACCGUCAAUGAAAUAGAAAAUCAUCCAGAUUGUCGCUAUAUGACACCAAAUGAGGUUGUUUGGCGCUUACCAAAGGGAAUGAAGAAUGAUUUGGUAUCCAAUUACCCCAGAAGUUAUGUCAAAAAUAAAAGCUUCCCAGUUGACGAUGCACAAAUGCCACUAUCUACAAAGCCAUUUCCUAGCAAAGAAAUGAUGACCCGUCAAUCUUCAAAAAGUAUCCAGAGUGUGAUGAUCCAUACACCAGAGGGCUCAAACAAUACUACACCUUCCUCUUACCAAUGUGCAACUAUUGUCAUUGAAAAAAAUAACAUAGGUACUCUUUAG
rnacentral:rRNA from 1 species